UCCCUGGUGGCUUAGAUGGUAAAGCGUCUGCCUGCAAUGCAGGAGACCCAGGUUCAAACCCUGUGUUGGGAA
rnacentral:tRNA from 1 species